AGCCCAGAGCCUGAAUCAGUGUGUGUGUUAGUGGAAGCGUCUGGAAAGGCGCGCGAUACAGGGUGACAGCCCCGUACACAAAAAUGCACAUGCUGUGAGCUCGAUGAGUAGGGCGGGACACGUGGUAUCCUGUCUGAAUAUGGGGGGACCAUCCUCCAAGGCUAAAUACUCCUGACUGACCGAUAGUGAACCAGUACCGUGAGGGAAAGGCGAAAAGAACCCCGGCGAGGGGAGUGAAAAAGAACCUGAAACCGUGUACGUACAAGCAGUGGGAGCAUGCUUAGGCGUGUGACUGCGUACCUUUUGUAUAAUGGGUCAGCGACUUAUAUUCUGUAGCAAGGUUAACCGAAUAGGGGAGCCGAAGGGAAACCGAGUCUUAACUGGGCGUUAAGUUGCAGGGUAUAGACCCGAAACCCGGUGAUCUAGCCAUGGGCAGGUUGAAGGUUGGGUAACACUAACUGGAGGACCGAACCGACUAAUGUUGAAAAAUUAGCGGAUGACUUGUGGCUGGGGGUGAAAGGCCAAUCAAACCGGGAGAUAGCUGGUUCUCCCCGAAAGCUAUUUAGGUAGCGCCUCGUGAACUCAUCUCCGGGGGUAGAGCACUGUUUCGGCAAGGGGGUCAUCCCGACUUACCAACCCGAUGCAAACUGCGAAUACCGGAGAAUGUUAUCACGGGAGACACACGGCGGGUGCUAACGUCCGUCGUGAAGAGGGAAACAACCCAGACCGCCAGCUAAGGUCCCAAAGUCAUGGUUAAGUGGGAAACGAUGUGGGAAGGCCCAGACAGCCAGGAUGUUGGCUUAGAAGCAGCCAUCAUUUAAAGAAAGCGUAAUAGCUCACUGGUCGAGUCGGCCUGCGCGGAAGAUGUAACGGGGCUAAACCAUGCACCGAAGCUGCGGCAGCGACGCUUAUGCGUUGUUGGGUAGGGGAGCGUUCUGUAAGCCUGCGAAGGUGUGCUGUGAGGCAUGCUGGAGGUAUCAGAAGUGCGAAUGCUGACAUAAGUAACGAUAAAGCGGGUGAAAAGCCCGCUCGCCGGAAGACCAAGGGUUCCUGUCCAACGUUAAUCGGGGCAGGGUGAGUCGACCCCUAAGGCGAGGCCGAAAGGCGUAGUCGAUGGGAAACAGGUUAAUAUUCCUGUACUUGGUGUUACUGCGAAGGGGGGACGGAGAAGGCUAUGUUGGCCGGGCGACGGUUGUCCCGGUUUAAGCGUGUAGGCUGGUUUUCCAGGCAAAUCCGGAAAAUCAAGGCUGAGGCGUGAUGACGAGGCACUACGGUGCUGAAGCAACAAAUGCCCUGCUUCCAGGAAAAGCCUCUAAGCAUCAGGUAACAUCAAAUCGUACCCCAAACCGACACAGGUGGUCAGGUAGAGAAUACCAAGGCGCUUGAGAGAACUCGGGUGAAGGAACUAGGCAAAAUGGUGCCGUAACUUCGGGAGAAGGCACGCUGAUAUGUAGGUGAAGUCCCUCGCGGAUGGAGCUGAAAUCAGUCGAAGAUACCAGCUGGCUGCAACUGUUUAUUAAAAACACAGCACUGUGCAAACACGAAAGUGGACGUAUACGGUGUGACGCCUGCCCGGUGCCGGAAGGUUAAUUGAUGGGGUCAGCGCAAGCGAAGCUCUUGAUCGAAGCCCCGGUAAACGGCGGCCGUAACUAUAACGGUCCUAAGGUAGCGAAAUUCCUUGUCGGGUAAGUUCCGACCUGCACGAAUGGCGUAAUGAUGGCCAGGCUGUCUCCACCCGAGACUCAGUGAAAUUGAACUCGCUGUGAAGAUGCAGUGUACCCGCGGCAAGACGGAAAGACCCCGUGAACCUUUACUAUAGCUUGACACUGAACAUUGAGCCUUGAUGUGUAGGAUAGGUGGGAGGCUUUGAAGUGUGGACGCCAGUCUGCAUGGAGCCGACCUUGAAAUACCACCCUUUAAUGUUUGAUGUUCUAACGUUGACCCGUAAUCCGGGUUGCGGACAGUGUCUGGUGGGUAGUUUGACUGGGGCGGUCUCCUCCUAAAGAGUAACGGAGGAGCACGAAGGUUGGCUAAUCCUGGUCGGACAUCAGGAGGUUAGUGCAAUGGCAUAAGCCAGCUUGACUGCGAGCGUGACGGCGCGAGCAGGUGCGAAAGCAGGUCAUAGUGAUCCGGUGGUUCUGAAUGGAAGGGCCAUCGCUCAACGGAUAAAAGGUACUCCGGGGAUAACAGGCUGAUACCGCCCAAGAGUUCAUAUCGACGGCGGUGUUUGGCACCUCGAUGUCGGCUCAUCACAUCCUGGGGCUGAAGUAGGUCCCAAGGGUAUGGCUGUUCGCCAUUUAAAGUGGUACGCGAGCUGGGUUUAGAACGUCGUGAGACAGUUCGGUCCCUAUCUGCCGUGGGCGCUGGAGAACUGAGGGGGGCUGCUCCUAGUACGAGAGGACCGGAGUGGAC
rnacentral:rRNA from 1 species